GAAGAAUAAAUGUGACAGGAAGGAAGUAAAUGGUCGCACAAUUGUUAGUAAUGAGUCACAAAGGUGAUGUUUCAAGGUGAUCACUGAAGGUGUUGUUGUGAUGCUUACGUCGAAAGGAGUGUGUUUGGUUGUUGCUGGUGAUUUACAGUUGCUAUGGGAGGAGAUAGAAGGGAAGUGUGAUGAAGAUGGAAGUUGUUUUGUUGAAAGAGUUAUCUUUGUGGAGUCAAGAGUAAAAUGAGGAGAGAGUGGGAUGGACCUUUUAUGAGAUAGACUUGAAAUGGAGUGGUAAGAGGUUAGGAAAUGGAAGGAGUGGAAAUGAUAUGAGUGAAAGAGGAAGUAUAAGCGAGUUGGAUCAAGGAGAGGGUUGGUGGCUUAGAAAUUUUAUUCCUGCUUUUCUCUAAAGAGAGGGGGGAGAGAAAUCUUAAGGCAUUGUUUUUUAUUCCGUCACCUAGCCAAAAAACCAUUUUAAUUAUUUUCUUCUCCCUUUUCUAUUAUGAGCUCAGAGAGAGGUCACGUUCUCAAAACAUUCCACUCUCUAGCUACAUGUUUUUCCACCCUCUUACCAGCUAGCUUUUUCUUAUUUUGGUUUUUUGUAUUUCCUGAUUAUUUGAUUGGAUGAGAGAAUAAGUUAAGGAUAG
rnacentral:lncRNA from 1 species